UAUAAACAGACUCAAUAACACUGCGUUUACUAUAAGCUUGCUUAUUGCGUUCUAUGCUACUGGAGGGUCUGCUUAUAGAUAUAUUAAGUAUCACAACAACGCUUUACAAUCUCCCCGUUCUUGGACUCAGUGUUGUAAAUAUUCUGGUUCUUUUGGACAUAUAGGGAGUGAUGGCUUCUUCACAUCUUGCUUACUCUCGUGGAUUAACUCAGAAACCGAUUAUGCUACUGCUUUGCUUGGUUACAUUCUAUGCUUCCAAAAAGAGUUAAAGAUUUAUUUUAUCAUUACUUAUAUUGUUUAUAGCUGAUUGUUUAUAUUAUAUCGUAAUAAAUUCUGUCAUGCGUAUUCACAUCAACUGGGGUUUUACAAUUAAUACACCUAAGGCAAGAACAAAUCAGAUAUUGCAGUGUUUUAAUAUUCAGUUUUAUUUACUUUACAGGGAGUUUUGAGAACGCAGGACAAAGUAUUAAUGUCACAAUUCCAAAGAUGUCAAGACUCAAUAGAGGAGCUAAAGAAACAACGACCGUGGUACGAAGUGUUCAGUGAUGAUGAAGAGGAAGAAGAAGACGGUAAACACUGGGAAGAUUGGGAGAUUGACGAUUUUGACAAAUCUGAAGGCAGUGGCUACAACAGGAGGUCCCAGUCAAUCCCACAUUGAACAUGGAAUACUUAUGACGGAGUUAACAUAUUGUGUGAAUUGUUUAAGUUGUUAUUUCAUUCCACACAUUUUUUGUACAAGUUGUGUGCGAAUUGAUGAUUGUCGUCAUUUUAAAAAUUUCACUUGUUUAUUUUGUGUGUAAAUGUCGCUCUGUCAGGUAAAUUUGUAUGUCUGCAUUAUCAGUAUUUCAAAUAGUUAUGUAAAUUAAAUCUGAAGUAAUGUUUUGGUGAAAUGUGCUUUGUUAAAAUUCCACAUACUGGAUGUAAAUAACGAAUACGUUUAUUUGAAUGUAAAACUAUGAAUUUGAUAUGAACAUUUGUAGAUUGUUGGAAGCUCUGCAUUAUUAUUGCUAAGAGUUCCCGGCCACAUAAAACAAGUGCGGAGGGUAAAUGUUACUUUUGAAUUGGACGGGUAACGUACCAUUACCUAAUGUGAAACGAUGAGUUUAACUUGUGUAUAUGAGUCGCCAAACACAAAUGAUGGAUUUAUUGUGUGCGUGAUUAUAUACAACUCGCAGGUCACACACAUAACACUGAAGUGAUGAUUUUCACGUAUGUGCAUUUUCAGAUGAUAGAAAUGUCACACGAUAUUCUUCUAGAUAUGAAACGAUCAUUUUUAUACGCUUAUCAUCGUGAACUGACAAAAAGGACCAUCUGACAGACUUGAAAAUUUCUCCCAAGAAAGUGCCUUUAAAAGGAAUAACCUCUUUAAGUAUUUAAUUAUAUAUUUAUCAUAGUUGAAUAAUCAACAAUCUUUAUUAUACUUUAAUACAUCAGCGAAGAAAAUGCAACGAAACGUUUAUACGUUAAAUUAAUCAAUAUCAUAUCAACAUGAAUACAUUUCUUUCUCCAGAUCAACUCUACUAUACAAGAUACAUGUUUCUACUAAUUGCAGUACAAAGCAGUAGAUAUUUUCGACAAAUGGAUUAUACCCGGUGAUGGCGAGUCAAUUCCUUAGAUAAUAUCAUUCUUUGCGGUGUUCCACAUUUAAGCGACCCAUUUGCAGCAAUUUCAGAAUUGUAUCAAUGUAUUUUAAAAAUGCAUUUCAAAUAUUGGGUAAUCGAUUUUUGAUAAUAAUUCAGUAAAAUAAGCAAAGAGAUAAUCGUCGGGUUUGAAAUAUAGUGUAUUUUAAAUAUAGUGCCUCGAUCUCUUCCGAUUUUCAUAAAAUACAGUGGAUUUGUAUAAGUGUUGCUUAACAUCAUUCUAAUACGAAUAUAAAAUGUUCAGCAUAUCUGACACAUUAUACCUUUGAAUUAAGUGUACUUAUCAAUACGUCUUUACUACCUCGAAGUCUUUAUAAAACAGGAAUUUGAAAAUUGGUGCUAAACUUGACCGUGCUGAAAUGAGUAAACAUAAAAAAAAUCUUGGUCAAAAGCUGUACAAUCCAUAUUGUCUUGAGUUUUACAGUUUCAAAUGUAAUUUAAAGCUGAAUUUGAUUUGUUUGUACCAUCUGCCAAUAUAGUCCAAAUAUAUACUGCUAUGAAUAUCAUUUAUUUAAGAAUAAAGUUGUUUUUUGUUAUACAUUUUUGAAAUUUUAAACAUGUUAUUUUGAGCUGUGAGCGAACGGAGAAGUGGCGAUUGGAUAUGGCGAUGAGAUAGCAUAUAUGUGGCGAUAUGUGGGUUUAUGCUUACUGUUACAUUUAAUGUUACAUUAUCUCGUUUUUAAAUAAAUAUUGAACGAAA